rnacentral:rRNA from 1 species
CCUACGGGAGGCAGCAGUGGGGAAUAUUGCACAAUGGGCGAAAGCCUGAUGCAGCAACGCCGCGUGAGCGAUGAAGGCCUUCGGGUCGUAAAGCUCUGUCCUCAAGGAAGAUAAUGACGGUACUUGAGGAGGAAGCCCCGGCUAACUACGUGCCAGCAGCCGCGGUAAUACGUAGGGGGCUAGCGUUAUCCGGAAUUACUGGGCGUAAAGGGUGCGUAGGUGGUUUGUAAAGUCAGAGGUGAAAGGCUAGGGCUCAACCGUAGUAAGCCUUUGAAACUGGGGAACUUGAGUGCAGGAGAGGAGAGUGGAAUUCCUAGUGUAGCGGUGAAAUGCGUAGAUAUUAGGAGGAACACCAGUUGCGAAGGCGGCUCUCUGGACUGUAACUGACACUGAGGCACGAAAGCGUGGGGAGCAAACAGGAUUAGAUACCCGAGUAGUC